rnacentral:rRNA from 1 species
ACAGAGAUGGCGAGCGUUACUCGGAUUUAUUGGGUGUAAAGGGCAGGUAGGUGUUUUGCCAAGUUGUAAGUGAAAUCCUAAGGCUCAACCUUAGAACUGCUUACAAAACUGGCGAAAUUGAGAUUGGUAGAGGAAAGCGGAAUUCCCGGUGUGCUGGUGGAAUCACUAAUUAUCAAAAGAAGCACCAAAGGCGAAGGCGGCAAUCUGGAUUAACUCUCACACUAAGCCGCCAAAGCUCGGUGAGUAAUCAG